rnacentral:rRNA from 1 species
GACGAACGCUGGCGGCGUGCUUAACACAUGCAAGUCGAACGGAAAGGCCCUGCUUUUGUUGCGUGCUCGAGUGGCGAACGGGUGAGUAACACGUGAGUAACCUGCCCUUGACUUUGUGAUAACUUCAGGAAACUGGGGCUAUUACCGGAUAGGAGCUCCUGCUGCAUGGUGUUGGUUGGAAAGUUUCGGCGGUUGGGGAUGGACUCGCGGCUUAUCAGCUUGUUGGUGGGGUAGUGGCUUACCAAGGCUUUGACGGGUAGCCGGCCUGAGAGGGUGACCGGCCACAUGGGGACUGAGAGACGGACCAGACUCCUACGGGAGGCAGCAGUGGGGAAUAUUGCACAAUGGGCGGAAGCCUGAUGCAGCAACGCCGCGUGCGGGAUGACGGCCUUCGGGUUGUAAACCGCUUUCGCCUGUGACGAAGCGUGAGUGACGGUAAUGGGUAAAGAAGCACCGGCUAACUACGUG